GGGAGACAAGCCAGGUUGGCAGCAGAUUGGAUCCAGCUUUAUUCGGCAUUACUAUCAGUGAUUUGAUAACGGCAGAACCCAGCUAGGCGCAAUUUACAUUGAUUGAGUCAUCAUGCCUUAAGUGGGAAGGACAGCAGUCCCAGGGGAAAGCUGCCGUGGAGGAGAAGCUAUCUAGCCUCCCGUUCCAGAAAAUUCAGCAUAGUGUCAACAGCGCAGGACCACCAGCCUACACCAGAGAGCUGCAUCAUCAGCAUGGUUGUAGGCCAGCUCAAGG
rnacentral:lncRNA from 1 species